rnacentral:rRNA from 1 species
GACGAACGCUGGCGGCGUGCCUAAUACAUGCAAGUUGAGCGCUGAAGGUUGGUACUUGUACCAACUGGAUGAGCAGCGAACGGGUGAGUAACGCGUGGGGAAUCUGCCUUUGAGCGGGGGACAACAUUUGGAAACGAAUGCUAAUACCGCAUAAAAACUUUAAACACAAGUUUUAAGUUUGAAAGAUGCAAUUGCAUCACUCAAAGCUGAUCCCGCGUUGUAUUAGCUAGGUGGUGAGGUAAAGGCGCACAAAGGCGAUGAAAGAUAGCCGACCUGAGAGGGUGACCGGCCACAUUGGGACUGAGAGACGGCCCAGACGGCUUCGUGGGGCAGCAGUGGGGAAUAGUGCACAAUGGGCGGAAGCCUGAUGCAGCAACGCCGCGUGCGGGAUGACGGCGUUCGGGUUGGAAACCGCUUUGGCCUGGGACGAAGCGUGAGUGACGGUAAUGGGUAAAGAAGCACCGGCUAACUACGUG